UACGUAGGCAGCGAGCGUUGUUCGGAGUUACUGGGCGUAAAGGGUGUGUAGGCGGUUCUUUAAGUUUUGGCGUGAAAUCUCCCGGCUCAACCGGGAGGGUGCGUCGAAUACUGAGGGACUAGAGUACGGGAGAGGAAAGUGGAAUUCCUGGUGUAGCGGUGAAAUGCGUAGAUAUCAGGAGGAACACCGGUGGUGUAGACGGCUUUCUGGACCAUUGCUGACGCUGAGACACGAAAGCGUGGGUAGCAAACAGG
rnacentral:rRNA from 1 species